rnacentral:rRNA from 1 species
UACGGAGGGUGCGAGCGUUGUCCGGAAUCAUUGGGCGUAAAGGGCGCGUAGGUGGCCCGGUCAGCGUGCGGUGAAAGCUCGGGGCUCAACCCCGAGUCGGCCGUGCGAACUGCUGGGCUUGAGCACUGUAGAGGCAGGCGGAAUUCCGGGUGUAGCGGUGGAAUGCGUAGAGAUCCGGAAGAACACCGGUGGCGAAGGCGGUGAGCUGGGCAGUAGCUGACACUGAGGCGCGACAGCGUGGGGAGCAAACAGG